UACGUAGGCAGCAAGCGUUGUUCGGAGUUACUGGGCGUAAAGGGUGCGUAGGCGGCUUUUUAAGUUUGGUGUGAAAUCUCCCGGCUCAACUUGGGAGGGUGCGCCGAAUACUGAGAGGCUAGAGUGUGGGGAGAGGAAAGUGGAAUUCCUGGUGUAGCGGUGAAAUGCGUAGAUAUCAGGAGGAACACCGGUGGUGUAAACGGCUUUCUGGACCAUAACUGACGCUGAGGCACGAAAGCGUGGGUAGCAAACAGG
rnacentral:rRNA from 1 species